rfam:Lupinus angustifolius cultivar Tanjil chromosome LG03, whole genome shotgun sequence.
CUGGAAUGAUGUGAUAUGACUUAGCCAAAUCAGAUAUUGACGUGCUCCAUUUUAUGUUGAAGUGUAUUUCUCUGUUGAUUAACUUUGAGAUUGGUUUUCUUAUUUUCUGACCAAA